rnacentral:misc_RNA from 1 species
AGAGCACCAAAUACAUGGGGCAGCAGCAGCAAAGAUCUGGAACGCCAUGGAAGUAACAGAAGGAGCUCGCCACAGCCUUACCGCCAAUAUUCCCUAUUCCUCCCUCACCGUUGAUCAUUCUCUCUCUAUUACUCAUCUUAAGCCUAAAAUCGUAGAACUGUGCAAGGACUUGUUCAACCAAUGGUCAAAUCUAGAUGGUUCUCACUUCUCUGUAGAGACUGUGUCUGGUGGCAUCACAAAUCUAUUGCUAAAAGUAUCUGUAAGAGAAGAUGACGGAAAGCAUGAAAAUAUGACAGUUAGGUUAUAUGGUCCAAAUACUGAAUAUGUCAUUAACCGUGAACGAGAAAUGCAGGCGAUUCAACACCUCUCAGCGGCUGGGUUUGGUGCCAAGUUGCUUGCAGUAUUUGGGAAUGGCAUGGUUCAGUCAUUUAUUGAUGCACGUACUUUAACGCCCCCAGACAUGAGCAACCCAAAGCUUGCUGCUGAAAUUGCAAAGCAACUCCGAAAGUUCCAUCAGGUAGAAAUUCCGGGCUCCAAAGAACCUCAAGUGUGGAAUGAUGUGCUCAAGUUCUACAAAAAUGCAUCAACUCUCCAAUUUGAUGAUGGUGAGAAGAAGAUAAAGUAUGAGACAAUUUUGUUCCCGGAAGUUCAUAAUGAAAUCAUAGAGCUCAAGGAAUUGACUGACCGUCUUAACGCCCCAGUGGUGUUUGCUCACAAUGACUUACUCUCUGGAAAUCUGAUGCUUAAUGAGGAGAAAGAAAAGCUGUAUUUCAUUGAUUUUGAGUAUGGAUCCUACAAUUACAGGGGAUUUGACAUAGGGAAUCACUUCAAUGAAUAUGCUGGCUACGAUUGUGAUUACAGCUUAUAUCCAAAUAAGGAUCAGCAGUUUCAUUUCUUCAGGCACUAUUUGGAUUCUGACCAACCGAAUAAGGUAUCUGACAAGGACCUUGAAG